UUUUUAUUUUUUUCCAAUAUAGCUGGUUUACAGUGUUCCAUCAAUUUUCUACUGUACAGCAUGGUGACCCAGUUACACACACAUGUAUACAUUCUUUUCUGACAUUAUCAUGCUCCAUCAUAAGGGACCAGACAUAGUUCCCAGUGCUACACAGCAGGAUCUCACUGCUAAUCCAUUCUAAAGGCAAUAGUCUGCAUCUAUUAACUCCAAGCUCCCCAUCCAUCCCACUCCCUCCCCCUCUCCCUUGGCAAACACAAAGUGUAUUCUCCAAGUCCAGGAUUUUCUUUUCUGUGGAAAGGUUCCUUUGUGUCACAUAUUAGAUUCCAGAUAUAAGUGAUAUCAUAUGGUAUUUGGCUUUCUCUUUCUGACUUAUUUUACUCAGGAUGAGAGUUUCUAGUUCCAUCCAUGUUGCUGCAAGUGGCAUUAUUUGCAGAACAAUCAUUUUUUAUGGCUGAGUAGUGUUCCACUGUAUAUAUCUAUACAUCUUCCUAAUCCAAUCAUCUGUCAACAGACAUUUGGAUUGUUUCCAUGUCUUGGCUAUUGCGAAUAGUGCUGCAGUGAACAUGUGGGUCCAUGUGUCUUUUUUAAGGAAAGUUUUGUCUGGAUAUAUGCCCAAGAGUGGGAUUGCCGGGUCACAGGGUAGUUCUAUGUAUAGUUUUCUAAGGCACCUCCAUACUGUUCUCCAUAGUGGUUUUUAAUAAAAGCCCGCCAAGAUAUUUGCCUGGGAGUAGUGACUUUAGCUGAAGUUUUGCUGUGCAUGACUCUGGUGUGGAAAAGAUGAUCAAACACUAUAUUCAAUAUUAUCAAUAGAAACAGAAUUCCUUCUCAAGAUGUGAAGAUUGAAGGGCACACUGCAUUUUUUGUCAAUGAAAAUGAGAGCAAUUAAUUUCAUUUUCCAAAACCGGAUUAUUGGAGGGGUCCACAAUAAAGUAAGGUUGUAGCCUUUAAUCUCUUAAGGAAUAAAUGCAUAAAUAAACUCAAAAGUCUGACAAGGUAAAUAAGAACACAUUUCAUAAAAAAUGUGUGUGACAGACAUAGAGAACAGAGUUGUAGCUGCCAAGGGGGAGGGAGGAGGAAAUGGGAUGAACUGAGAGUUAGGGGUUAGAUGCAAACAUUUGGAAUGGAUAGGCAGUGGGGUCCUACUGUAUCGCAUAGGGAACUAUAUCCAAUCUCUUGAGAUAGACCAUGAUGGAAAAUAAUAUAAGACAAGGAAUGUAGGAGUUCCCCUUGUGGCUCAGCAGAUUACAAGCCUGACUAGUAUCUAAGAGGAUGUGGGUUCAAUCCCUGGCCUUGCUCAGUGGAUUAAUGAUCCAGUGCUGCUGUGAGCUGUGGUGCAGGUGGCAGACUCGGUUCAGAUCCUGUGUUGCUACUGUGGCUGUGGCAUAGGCCGGCAGCUGCAGCUCCAAUUCGACCCUUAGCUUGGGAACUUCCAUAUGCUGCAGGUGAGCCCCUAAAAGCAAAAAAAAAAAAAAAAAAAGGAAGGAAGGAAAGAAGUAGGAGAGAAAGAAAAGGCAUGUAUGAUAGGUCACUUUGCUGUACAGCAGAAAUUAGCACAACACUGUAAAUCAAAUAUAAUAAAUAAUUUUUUAACAAAACAUGUGAAAACCCAGAUAAGUAUAAAUAGUAUUUUAUUUGCAUAUUAUCAUUCCUUCAAAAGUGUGAAAAGUAAUUUUACUCAAAAUAAUCCACUCAAUAAAAAACAUGAUGGACAAUAUCCUAGUAAACGGAUUCCCUUCAGAGAUCUGAGGAUUGCAUGCUAGCUAUUCUAAUCGGAUCAUCUUUUUCUAAAAUAAACGUUUUAAAUUACAACUUCAGCCUUGGGCAUUUUGUCGAAUGGAUGUAAAAAUGCAUCUAAAAUCUCCUAUGUGUUAGUACUCAGAGCAUUAGAUAUGUUUCCUCUAGUCGACCACUCACAACAGCUGAAUCUUAUUAUGGCCCUGGCAUGAUUAAGUGUUUUUAAGGUUGGUCAUGUAUUCUUUUAAUCACCUGGUAAUCUUAAAAAGAAGCAAAAAAUAUCUGGACACCACCUCAUCUUUGGAAAGCCCUCCAGAGACUCUUAGGUGUUGUCAUGGUUGUGGACCACCUGGCUAAAUGUUAUCCAAGAUUUAUAAGCUGUUUCACCUUUGUUGGCACCAGGGAUUUUUAGAGAAGUGGCAUCUGUGUACAUAUAAACGUGCACAAAGAGACACACAAAAAGAAUGUGCCCUAGUAUCUGUCCAUCCAUCUCUCCAUCCAUCUAUUUAUCCAGCCAGCCAGUGAGCCAGCCAGUGAGCCAGGCAGCCAGCCAGCCAGCAUUUAAUAGAAUAUGUCUAAUUUUAUUCUUAUAACUUUUUGAGAAAUCAUUUCAUGGCCGUGUUUAGAAAAGACUGUAAAGUAACUUGCCUGAUAUGAUAUAGCUCAUGGCUUCACGGUUAUAAGAAUCUGCUUUAUAGCCUGUUAUGUGGUUAUGAUAGACAGAAAAUUUGAUUUGAGCACAAGAGACUUGAAUUCAUGACCUACUACUCUGUUACUUACUAAUUGUCCAAUCUUGGUAUCAUCAUUAAAAUUCUCUAGGUCUGGGUUUAUCCCCCUAUAAAAGAGUAACAUUAAUUCCAAACUUCAUACAAUUAUAAUAAAGGAUGAAUUAAGGGCAUUAAGUGCUUUUAAGUAACACUGGAAAUUGUGGGACAGAAGCAAACAAGCUUCUCUUUUGAGAACCCCAAAUUCCAAACCGAACCUAAUCUAUCACCAUAGCUCUCAGAAAUGACCUGACCUAGUGAAUUCAGCUUAAGAUACAUUCUGAUACAGGAUCACAUAACUACAGCCACUCUGAAGGCGCAGUGUUUGCUAAACAACCAAACAGAGACAUUUAACAAAGGCAGCUGAACAGAUCAAAAUACUGUGAGCAUUUUUAGGGUCCAUAUAAGAUUUUUAACAAACGCAUUUUCUUUUAAAAUACAGAAGACCAUUAUUUGACAUCAAUCUUUUUUUUUUUCUCUUAUUUUUUGAGUUUAAUUAGAUGGGCCCACAGGCCAGUGUGACAGUUUCUGGAAUACAUUUUAUUGAGUGGUCUUAUUUCUUAAUUCCGCAAUACAAAAAUUCCUUAUCAAUCCAUAGCUCAUCUGUAUCUAUUACGACAAUAAUACAUAAACAUAUGAAAAUAAUUUGGGAGAGAUGUUGGCCAGUCUCAUCACAAGAUGAAACAGCAGAGCAUUAUUUGCUUCUUCUAUCUCAGCAGAAAAUGAUUUUAUGUAAGUUUUCACUGUUUGACUUGGUGAGGAACUGAACAGUCACUUUUCAUAGGAAGCGCUUAAAGAAACUUACUGUGCAUUUCAUGUAAAAUAAAGGGGGAUCAACUAAAUCUAUGAUUCCAUAUCCUAUAUCAUGGAGCUUUUAAUUUGCAUUGCAUUCCUCUUUUGAAGGCACGUACACUUUAAUUAAAGAGCCGAAUUCCCCUCUGCCAUGAAAUGCACAACAGGUACCUGUCUUAGCUCUCCUCAUUAGCAUAUGAAAUUUUAAAAAGAUGAGUGCCGUGCUUAAAAAGCAGGCAACCUGCUCAUCUGUGCCUGGCCAUUUCUGCUCUAAGGGUUAAAGUCACCAAACACCAAUUUGUGAAGAGGCAUGCACUUCGCUUUCCUCUCUACUGCGUUAUUUUACUAAAAAGAAAUCUUACUUUUUUCAGAUUUCAUCUUGCAUGUGCCCUGAUGGUCAUCAUUCACCUUGCUUUCAAGCCCAGUGAGUUUUCUUCUCUCCUCUGUAUGUUCAAGGGCAAACUCUUAAAUACAAUAGCUAUAAAGUGUGAAUUUAUGAAACAGACCAAGAAAAAUUAACGCAAAGUAUACUGAAGAAAGGAAACACAAACUAAUUUUUCUAAAAGCACGGAUGAGAGAAUAAAAGGAAACGUGCAGAAAUACCCUAUGUUUACUUCUAGAACUUGGUUUCAAAAGUACUGAAUGAGUUAAAGGGAAAGAUACUUGAAUGAAUAUUUAAUUAAGCCGCUUUAUCUUCAUCUCUGAAGUGUUAGGUUGAGAAAUGAUUGAUUCCUGAAGAAAAUUCAGAACAUAUGUAUAACAUAAUAGACUCUUUGUGCUUUAACGUUUAUGUUUUUACGCUUUCACAUUCAAAUUGAAAACACCAGCCUUUUAAAAGGGUUCAAUACACACAUUUAAAUUUUACCCUAAGUUUUCCAUAUUUCCGAAUUAUUAUAUUUUUCCAUGACCUACUUAUUUUCCAGAACUUUCAUGAAUCAUACUAUUUACCCAAAGCAAUCUGUAUGUAUGCUAACAGCCGACUGCACGUCUGAAACUUCUGGUUUGGUGCGUAUGUGUUAGGAAGUUGGAAUCAUCACUUGACGUGAGGAGAAUUCUCCUACAGGGUGUUACGAGACACAGGCAAUGCUAUUUGUGCCUUUUUAAAAUGAACAGCAGACAUUCCUAAGCAAUGAAAAGACUGACAAACAUGUUUGGACAUGAAUAUAAUGCAUUACAUGCAAAUUAGUAAUAUUUUGUCCUGCGACAUAACAUAAAUGAGUGAAUACGCACACACAUUUGCUCGAUGAGAAUGUCUGUGUUCAAGCUAUUAAACCACAUAAAUCCUAUUUACCUGGUCAAAUGAGAUAAAGAAAUAGUGUCAUGAAAAUAAAUGUUAAAAAAGGACGUAUGAGUAGCUGGUUUUGCUGCUAUUUUCUUACAAUUACUGCUGAGCGGAACGUCACAGAAGCAAGCAAACGUGGCUUAAAAAUAAAGUUUAUGAUUCCAACGCUAUGACAUUUUGGAAAAAGCAAAAUUAAAGAGACCAUAAAAAGAUCAGUGGUUGCCAGGGGCUUGGGGAAAGGGAGGGGAUGGAUGCAAAGGUGAAGAACAGGGGAUUUUUAGGGCAGUGAAACUGCUCUAUGUUACUGCAAUGAUAGUUUACAUGUCACUAUGAAUUUAUCAAAACCCACAGAGUGUAC
ensembl:lncRNA